rnacentral:tmRNA from 1 species
GGGGUUGACCGGUUUUGACAGCGGGUAGAAGUGGUGUGUAAGCAUGCAGAGCGUGGAUGGCUUGCUCUAUAAUCUCAGACAUCAAAAAUUUAAAUGGCGAAAAUAACUACGCUCUUGCUGCUUAAUCGAAGUACAGUAGAUUAGCUUAAUCUUUGCAAUAGUUGCAAAGACAAGACAUCGCUCGGAUGCUGUUGUUCCGAAGCGUUCCGGCCAAGCGGUGCAGUAAUAUCGGAAAUAGUUUGGGAACCGUCUCGAUUCUCUUACGAAAAACAUAGAGACUACGGUUUGAAUUGGUGGCUUCGGUCUUGUUCAUUCCCGACAAAUCAGGCGAAGAUAAGCAUGUAGAAAGCACAUUAGUUCCUCGUUUGGACGAGGGUUCGAAUCCCUCCAACUCCACUU